GACGAACGCUGGCGGCGUGCUCAACACAUGCAAGUCGAACGGAAAGGCCCUGCUUUUGUGGGGUGCUCGAGUGGCGAACGGGUGAGUAACACGUGAGUAACCUGCCCUUGACUUUGGGAUAACUUCAGGAAACUGGGGCUAAUACCGGAUAGGAGCUCCUGCUGCAUGGUGGGGGUUGGAAAGUUUCGGCGGUUGGGGAUGGACUCGCGGCUUAUCAGCUUGUUGGUGGGGUAGUGGCUUACCAAGGCUUUGACGGGUAGCCGGCCUGAGAGGGUGACCGGCCACAUUGGGACUAAGAUACGGCCCAGACUCCUACGGGAGGCAGCAGUGGGGAAUAUUGCACAAUGGGCGGAAGCCUGAUGCAGCAACGCCGCGUGCGGGAUGACGGCCUUCGGGUUGUAAACCGCUUUCGCCUGUGACGAAGCGUGAGUGACGGUAAUGGGUAAAGAAGCACCGGCUAACUACGUG
rnacentral:rRNA from 1 species